UUGUAAAANNNCGGCCAGUGAGCUAGUGUAAUACGACUCACUAUAGGGCGCGGCCGCAGAAUUCGAGCUCGGUACCCGGGAUCUCGAGGCCAGAUCUCCAGCAGCCGCGGUAAUACGGAGGGGGUUAGCGUUGUUCGGAAUUACUGGGCGUAAAGCGCGCGUAGGCGGACUAAUAANUCCAGGGGUGAAAUCCCGGGGCUCAACCCCGGAACUGCCCUUGAUACUGGUAGUCUUGAGUUCGAGAGAGGUGAGUGGAAUUCCGAGUGUAGAGGUGAAAUUCGUAGAUAUUCGGAGGAACACCAGUGGCGAAGGCGACA
rnacentral:rRNA from 1 species